UUCAGGAAUCUGAAGUGUCAUCUUUUUUCAAACCAAGUUCUGCGCCAAUAACGUCUAAAAGAUUGAUAGAAGAAAUUAAACCGACGAGAAAAUUAGCAAAAAGAAAUGAGUUUGGGUCCAACCUUCAGAAAGCCUUCAAGCCGACCGGAAACUCUGAACCUGGAUCUAAUAUUCCGGAAAUAAAAAUCCGGAUUCAUCCGGAGGAAAGUUAUCUUACUCCGGUACAAACCAGAAAACUUUAAACAAAACAAAAAACAAAAAAGUGUUCAGAUGAACUAAUUACUCUCCUCAUACUCCUAAUAUUCUAAUCCUAUAUCCAUUGCAUAAAACCGGGAUCCCAUAUGUUUACAACCGAACUUUUGAUUUUUCAAACUAUCAACUUUUAUAUACUUGAUCAAAAGUAAAAUUUUUUCAUAUUAAAGGUUUACCCCAUCUGGUUGCAAAGAUGUGGAUAUGAGAAACAUUUCUUUUUCACCUGAUGUUGAACAUUUCAUCACAUGAAUCUUAAAGAUUUACACCAUUAGGUUACAAAAAUCAAGGGAUUACCAAAUUAGAGUAUUGAAAAGAGUAAUUACUGAUAAGUUUAUUUCUUUCCGAGCAAAUAAACAACUAAGUUAAGUAAAAAAUGUAUUUUUUUUACCUGAAAAAAAUUAUUUAUAACCUUAUUCUUUUUAAAGAUAACAGGCAAAAAGUGUGAAUGAACUGUUUUGCCCAUCAAAACUCAGAAAGUUGAUGAUUUCCAAUAAAAGAAUUAAUUCCGUUCCUGUAAACUGUAUUGUUAAUGAAAUGAUAAUAAUAAUAACAAUAAGAAUACUAUUCUAUAACCAACAAC